rnacentral:tRNA from 2 species
CGUUAGCUCAGUUGGUAGAGCAACUGACUUUUAAUCAGUGGGUCGCAGGUUCGAAUCCUGC